AAGAAGAAGAAGAAGAAGAAGAAAACAGAAGGAAAGGCAGGCUCCCAUGAUGCAUUGCACUGCCAACGUAUGCAAACCAGGAACAUGGCUACCGGUGCUUAACAGCAGCAAUCCAUCGUUACAAAACACUUAUGAGGGUCUGACACAGUCUGUCACAGUGUCAUAUUUGCUGGUUCUCCGUCAGAGAGGAAAAGCCUUCGUAGAGUUUCCAGCUGAGGCUCAGAAAACACCGCUGUUCAUCACAGACAGUGGGGUUCAACAUGGCGAGUCCAAGGACCAGACGAGUUCUGAAGGAAGUGAGAACCCAAGAAGAGAAUAAUCUAUGUUAUGAGUGUGGGGGUUUUAACCCUCAAUGGGUUAGUGUAACUUAUGGGAUCUGGAUUUGUCUUGAGUGCUCUGGCAAGCACAGGGGCCUGGGAGUCCAUCUGAGUUUCGUGCGCUCUGUCACCAUGGACAAGUGGAAAGAUAUUGAGCUUGAGAAGAUGAAAGUGGGAGGAAAUGGGGAAUUCCGCAAAUUUCUCGAGCUCCAAGAUGAUUAUGAUCCCACCUGGAAUUUACAGGAGAAAUACAACAGCAAACCUGCUGCACUCUUUAGAGACAAGGUGAGGUGUGCACCACUUUGACCAUAGCAGAGGAU